UAUUAAUCUUCUAGUACUUUUGAUGGGUUUUUAUAAUCGCUUCUUCGCGCACGUACCUAACCACAUACAUAGAUAGUCUAACCAGUAAGUGGGUGUCUUAAUACUAGUUGGCGAUAGUAAAUAUAGAUCUAUUUUUCAUUGGUUUUGAACUCACAAUACCUAUUUUCUGUGUUUCAAGGAUAAUACUUUUUACCCUAACCUCUAUAUAAAAAUAUAUACCCAAUAUUGAUUAUAAUAUUAUGUUCUUAACCUUUCCCUAGGCAGUGGAUACCAGGAUGUGAUGUUUGGCUCAUUUCUGGUCAAGACCCUCCAGACAUAAACAAGGAAAUAGCACCCAACGAAGAUGAUGCUGAACUCCCACAUAUGACAAUUUUCACUGAAUUCGGUGAUUUGAAUCUAAGGCAAAAAAUCACAGUAUUUAAAAAAUUUGUAUCAUUGCCAGAGUUUGAACAGUGCCCUUUCAAAGUGACUAUGGAAAGCAAUUUGCCUAAGUUUGUGGUGCCUUUAGACGACGACGACAAGGACAGUAUGGUCACACACAUAGACGAUAUGGAUAAUUCGGAUGUAGAAACUGAAAGUUAAUGAAUAAAACUGUUUAUAAGGAUAAA